rnacentral:rRNA from 1 species
GCCUACGGGGGGCAGCAGUGGGGGAUAUUGCGCAAUGGGGGGAACCCUGACGCAGCAACGCCGCGUGAAGGAAGAAGGUUUUCGGAUUGUAAACUUCUUUGACGUGGGACGAAUAAUGACGGUACCACGAAAACAAGCUCCGGCUAACUACGUGCCAGCAGCCGCGGUAAUACGUAGGGAGCGAGCGUUGUCCGGAUUUACUGGGUGUAAAGGGUGAGUAGGCGGGGCUGAAAGUCAGAUGUGAAAUACCGAGGCUUAACUUCGGGGCUGCAUUUGAAACUUCAGUUCUUGAGUGAUGGAGAGGCAGGCGGAAUUCCUAGUGUAGCGGUGAAAUGCGUAGAUAUUAGGAGGAACACCAGUGGCGAAGGCGGCCUGCUGGACAUUAACUGACGCUGAGGCACGAAAGCGUGGGGAGCAAACAGGAUUAGAUACCCGGGUAGUCCC